AGAGGAGUCGGAGCUGUAGGAAAACGUUGCUCUGGAAGCGGUGGCCUCUCUGACCCUCGCUCAGAGCACUUUGAAAAAGCAAGACAGAAAGACCUCCGUUUCCCAGGCCCGGAAGGAGCUUUGACCGUUCAAGCCUGCACGGCGGCGCAAUGAAUCUCACCGGAACCCUUUCUCCCACUGCUGCAGAACCUUUCUGGCGCGUUAUGGCGCGCUGCUUAGAGCGUCACUUCCGGCGACUUGCAGGAGGCAGGAGAGUGAGGGAAAGGCUGGAAGGUGGCAGGGGGUGUGUUCCUGACGCCCAUGUGGCUCACCUCCUCUGUGCUCUGAGCCAUGGCACACCGACCCGGAAGCCUCCUCUAUGCUGGGAGCUGUGGGAUGCCUACCCAGAAGCCUCCUCUAUGCUGGGAGCCACAGGACCACUACCCAGAAGCCUCCUCUACACUGGGAGCCGCGGCACGCUUACUCGGAAGCCUGCUUCUGCCUGGGAGCCAUGGCAUGCCAACCCAGAAGCCCCCUCUAAGCUGGGAGCUGCGGCACACCUACCCGGAAGCCUCCUCCUGCCUGCAAACCGUGGCACACCAACCUGGAAGUCUCCUCUGGGCUGGGAGCUAUGGCAUGCCGACCCAGAAGCCCCCUCCAUGCAGGCUUUUUACUUUUUAAAACACUUCAUCUACUGCUCCUAAGUGAAGCACAAUGUUCUUUUUCUGUAAGUCAUACUCUGUAGUGAGAGCAGCAAUUUCCAUGCAACCUUGAAUGUGAUGCCAAAUUAGGGGUCCGAUGUGGGGGCUGGUCUGAGCCUGGCUGCUUCCUUUGCAUGAAACCUCAGCCAAAGGACGGGAAGCAGGAGCAGAUAAAUCCACGCUGGUCCCCAAAACCUCCAGCAGGUUUUUAUUCUCGAUCACCCACCAGCCACAACACACAUCAAAUAAGAAAAGUAAAAGGAAAUA